UGUAUUAAUUAGGAAAAGUUUUUAUUUCAGGUGUGUGAUUAAAGGCUUGUUUGUUAGAUUUCAACUGUGGCACAGUUGGUUGUUUGCUGAGAAGCUGUGAAACAUAAUUAUACAGGCCAUUAAGUGGUACCAAAAAGAUGGUAAGUUGGUAGUGUUCAGUUCCGGGCAAGCAUUUUCUUCAAGAGGUUUUUGUCAGAUUGAUGAAUGUGAAAUUAAGAGGACCCAUUUUGAGAAUGCAUCAAGAGAGAUAGUCUAAAAUGUAAUACUGUCAAUGUGACUAACCUUGAAGUAAACAGAUGACACAAUGUUUUUUCAAUGUCAUGGGCUAUAAUGAAGAGGUACAUGAUUAUUUGUAUACACUUUCCCUUAAUAAAUAAUUUCUAAAUAUUUGACAUGUUUAAAGGCCAACACAGGACUCAAGGCUUAUUUAAAAUCAGUAAGCUUGGCACUAAGAGCCAAAUGUAUAUUAAUUAUUUCAAUAUCAUUUCAUCAUGCAAUCUGUUGUUAAUUUAGGAACAAAAGUCGAUAGCAAAAACAUUUUAGCCGUGUCAUGACAAAACCAACAUAAUGGGUUUGCGACCAGCAUGGA